UAGAAGAUGACGAGUGGCGGACGGGUGAGUAAUGCUUGGGAACUUGCCUUUGCGAGGGGGAUAACAGUUGGAAACGACUGCUAAUACCGCAUAAUGUCUUCGGACCAAACGGGGCUUAGGCUCCGGCGCAAAGAGAGGCCCAAGUGAGAUUAGCUAGUUGGUAAGGUAACGGCUUACCAAGGCGACGAUCUCUAGCUGUUCUGAGAGGAAGAUCAGCCACACUGGGACUGAGACACGGCCCAGACUCCUACGGGAGGCAGCAGUGGGGAAUAUUGCACAAUGGGGGAAACCCUGAUGCAGCCAUGCCGCGUGUGUGAAGAAGGCCUUCGGGUUGUAAAGCACUUUCAGUUGUGAGGAAAAGUUAGUAGUUAAUACCUGCUAGCCGUGACGUUAACAACAGAAGAAGCACCGGCUAACUCCGUGCCAGCAGCCGCGGUAAUACGGAGGGUGCGAGCGUUAAUCGGAAUUACUGGGCGUAAAGCGCACGCAGGCGGUUUGUUAAGCUAGAUGUGAAAGCCCCGGGCUCAACCUGGGAUGGUCAUUUAGAACUGGCAGACUAGAGUCUUGGAGAGGGGAGUGGAAUUCCAGGUGUAGCGGUGAAAUGCGUAGAUAUCUGGAGGAACAUCA
rnacentral:rRNA from 1 species